GCGGCUUAAUUUGACUCAACGCGGGGUAAUUUACCAGGUAUAACAUGAUAUAAUAUUUUAUCAUGAUAGUGGUGCAUGGCCGUUUCCAAUGGAUGCUGUGAAGUAAUGAUUAAUUUCAACAAGAUGUGAGACCCUCAUAUAGACAGAUGUAGUGAUACAUAUGAAGGAGAGGAUUAAAACAGGUCCGUUAUGCCCUAAGAUAAUCUGGGUUGCACGCGCAAUACAAUAAUAUUUGAUAUUAUAAGGGAUAAUAUAAUGUAAGAUAUAUUUGAACAUGGAAUUGCUAGUAAAUUUUAUUUAAUAAGUAGAAUUGAAUGAGUCCCUGUUCUUUGUACACACCGCCCGUCGCUAUCUAAGAUGGUAUUAUCUAUGAACAAAUUUAUAAAGUGAAUAGAUAGUACUAGAUCUGAUAUAAGUCGUAACAUGGUUGCUGUUGGAGAACCAUUAGCAGGAUCAUAA
rnacentral:rRNA from 3 species